AUUGAACGCUGGCGGCAUGCCUUACACAUGCAAAUCGAACGGUAACGGGCCUUCGGGUGCCGGCGAGUGGCGAACGGGUGAGUAAUACAUCGGAACGUGCCCGAUCGUGGGGGAUAACGAGGCGAAAGCUUUGCUAAUACCGCAUACGAUCUACGGAUGAAAGCAGGGGACCGCAAGGCCUUGCGCGGACGGAGCGGCCGAUGGCAGAUUAGGUAGUUGGUGGGAUAAAAGCUUACCAAGCCGACGAUCUGUAGCUGGUCUGAGAGGAUGAUCAGCCACACUGGGACUGAGACACGGCCCAGACUCCUACGGGAGGCAGCAGUGGGGAAUUUUGGACAAUGGGCGCAAGCCUGAUCCAGCCAUGCCGCGUGCAGGAUGAAGGCCUUCGGGUUGUAAACUGAUUUUGUACGGAACGAAAAGCCUUCUUUUAAUACAGGAGGGUCAUGACGGUACCGUAAGAAUAAGCACCGGCUAACUACGUG
rnacentral:rRNA from 1 species